rnacentral:lncRNA from 1 species
GUUCCACGCAGGCUGGGGGCGGAGGGCCAGAUCGACCCCAGCCGGGGCGGCCGAGCAGGGUCCACGGGGGUCGGGGAUGGGCGGCCAGGCGGGGUCGGAGGGACGAAAGCCGGGGUGAACCUGCGCCGCGGGCCAAGCGCGACCCCCUCCCUUCCCGACCUGUGCGGAGAGGAGAGAAAUGAAGGGGGGCGCCCAAGGAGCCCUGGCCCCGGGAGUGGGAGUCAGCGGGUGGGAACAGAUCGCCCUUCCUUUCCGCUGGGAAUUGGGGGACUCCCCCUGCUUUCACUCUCCCAGCCCGCCAUGGGGUUGGGCCUUGUCCUUUGCCUUGGGUUUGAAGGCGGAGACAAAAAAGGCUGUCCAAAAUCCAGCCAGCUUGGGAGGCAUGGUUGAUGCGAGUUAGCAAAGAUUCUCGACUGUGGUAAGUCUGUUCAAGGGGACGCAUUCACCAAGUGUCCCCGUUAGCCAAGUUAGCCUGCUGUGGCCAGCUCUUUACUUUUUCCCCCCGAAGCCCCUUCAGCUCUGUUUUCUCUUUCGGGGUCAUGAAGUUUGUCCACGGCCCCUACUCCUGACAGCCUCUGGGAUGGGUGCUGCGGAGGCAGCAGCAGCCACACAGAAAGAGGCAGAUCAGCGUUGUCACCCCUACUUUUGUAAAAGGAAAUCUGGUAUUGCCAGGCUGUGUGGUUAGCGACUCACAUAUGUUCUCGAAAUCUCACAAAAGCCCUGUGAGGUAGAAAUUAUUUUACCCAUUUUAUAGGAAGGAAAUUGAGACUGAGCGAGCCGGCUUCGGAUUGGCUCAAGGUCACAUAUAGUCAUCAUUCGAACCUCACUCAGUCUGCUUCUUUCUGAAGUCUGUGCAGCUUAAUCACUUCAGAAUGGGAAGGAAACGGGGGCCCAGGGAAGUUAAGCAACUUGCCCACUCACUCAGUCUAAUUGGUGCCGGGGCAGGGACAGAACUCACUCAAUUCCACUGCUUUCCCCAGUUUCUGGUGUUGCUAAAAGCCUCCAGUGAAUGAAUGAACACUUGUGUGCCUGCCCUCAAGGAGCCUGCACUACACUUGGAGAUAUAUACAGAAACCUGUUGAGGGCUAACUUAGGUUGGCAAGGCCCCCAGUGGCCAAGGCAUGAGCCUGGAUGCCCUGCAAAUUGAGUACGUGUUAGGGAUGGGGGCCAUUCUUUAUAGUUUGACUCUGGAGAGCUAGGACCACCUUUCCCAGCCUCAGGGGUGCACAUCCUCAGGAGCUGCCUACCUCCAGAUAUUCACUUCGGGACGCUGAGAGAGGUGGAUCACCUGAGGUCAGGAGUUCGAGAUCAGCCUGGCCAACAUGGAGAAACCCCGCCUCUACUAAAAAUACAAAACAUUAGCUGGGUGUGGUGGCACACACCUGUAAUUCCAGCUACUCGGGAGGCAGAAGCAGGAGAAUCGCUUGAAUCCAGGAGGCGGAGGUUGCAGUAAGCCGAGAUCACGCCACUACACUCCAGCUUACACUGGACAUGAUGAGGAGGAGGAGGAUGAUGGUGGUGAUUAUGAUAGAAAUGGUGAUGGUGAUGAUGACAAUGGUGAUAGUAGGGAUGGUCUUGCUCUGUCGCAAUCAAUAAAUGAAUGCAUAAACACAUUUCUACUUGUUUUUGCAGUCCUAAGAUAAGUGCUCAGUAGCAUCCCUGCCCUUCUAAUGUGAACUUGAGGGAUGGGUAAGACCCAGAGAUGGCAUGGGGGACGGGAUAAGGAAGGCCUACUGUUCAUAUUGUGAACAUGAAAUGGUUUUACAUUUUGAUGCCACUUCAUUAAAUUGACUGUAUGAUAUGAGCUAACGCUACACCCUCCUUUAAAUUUUGGCUAACACAUCCAUAUCCUCAGGUGGUAUCAGUUGAUAAUGCCCAUGAAAAUAUUUUGUAAACUACAGGGUGCUAAACAAUUAUUUACUUGUAUCCCUUUCUGUGGGGCACAGUUUGAUGCUAUACACAAAGCAGUGAAGUCUCGACAAGAAUGAUGACCACUACAAUGAGCACAAAAUAAAGUCUUUUUGGGGUUUUU